UGGCGAAUAAUGGUAGGAAAUUGUUGUGGCGUUCUUCUGACCGGACGUUGGAGAGCGAAUCGACGCGUUAAGCUUGGCAAUAGAACGGCUGAAGCGGUUGAAUUUCAGCAUAAUCCGGCUUGGAUGGACUUUCUCCCAUCAUGGGAUCAGCGUCCUCGUACGGGCGACAACCCGACGACGACCAUUUAAAUGGCGUCUUUAAGAAUCGUCUCUUAAACAGCAAUUUAGUGGACAAAUUAUGGGGAAAAGUUGGAGAGAUGCUGGAACGAAUAGGUCGAGCGGGAUGCGACCGUCUCUUCGCGAUAAGAAACGUGAUACUUGACGUUUUUUCGAUUAAACGUGAAAUAUCUCGAUGAUAGUUUCCAACCAACGACGGCUUGACAACCAAUUUUAUUAUUCCACGCUACAUUUGUAAUUAUCUUCGUUUGCUU